UCCCUGGUGGCUCAGACGGUAAAGCAUUUGUCUGCAAUGCAGGAGACCCGGGUUCGAUCCCUGGGUUGGGAA
rfam:TPA: Bos taurus chromosome 1, whole genome shotgun sequence.